rnacentral:rRNA from 1 species
UACGGAGGGAGCUAGCGUUGUUCGGAAAUACUGGGCGUAAAGCGCACGUAGGCGGCGCAGCAAGUCAGGGGUGAAAUCCCGGGGCUCAACCCCGGAACUGCCCUUGAAACUGCAGUGCUAGAAUCUUGGAGAGGCGAGUGGAAUUCCGAGUGUAGAGGUGAAGUUCGUAGAUAUUCGGAAGAACACCAGUGGCGAAGGCGACUCACUGGCCCGAUACUGACGCUGAGGCACGAAAGCGUGGGGAGCAAACAGG